rnacentral:rRNA from 1 species
GACGAACGCUGGCGGCGUGCUUAACACAUGCAAGUCGAACGGAAAGGCCUCAGCUUGCUGGGGUACUCGAGUGGCGAACGGGUGAGUAACACGUGGGCGAUCUGCCUUGCACUCUGGGAUAAGCUUGGGAAACUGGGUCUAAUACCGGAUAUGAACUGCCUUUAGUGUGGUGGUUGGAAAGUUUUUUCGGUGCAAGAUGAGCUCGCGGCCUAUCAGCUUGUUGGUGGGGUAAUGGCCUACCAAGGCGUCGACGGGUAGCCGGCCUGAGAGGGUGUACGGCCACAUUGGGACUGAGAUACGGCCCAGACUCCUACGGGAGGCAGCAGUGGGGAAGAUUGAACAAUGGGCGGAAGCCUGAUGCAGCGACGCCGCGUGGGGGAUGACGGCCUUCGGGUUGUAAACUCCUUUCGACAGGGACGAAGCUUUUUGUGACGGUACCUGUAUAAGAAGCACCGGCUAACUACGUG